CCUACGGGCGGCAGCAGUGAGGAAUAUUGGUCAAUGGGCGAGAGCCUGAACCAGCCAAGUCGCGUGAAGGAUGAAGGAUCUAUGGUUUGUAAACUUCUUUUAUAUGGGAAUAAAGUGAGGAACGUGUUCCUUUUUGUAUGUACCAUAUGAAUAAGCAUCGGCUAACUCCGUGCCAGCAGCCGCGGUAAUACGGAGGAUGCGAGCGUUAUCCGGAUUUAUUGGGUUUAACGGGGGCGUAGGUGGUUAAUUAAGUCAGCGGUAAAAUUGUGGGGCUCAACCCCGUAGAGCCGUUGAAACUGGCAGACUUGAGUAGGCGAGAGGGACGCGGAAUGCGCGGUGUAGCGGGGAAAUGCAUAGAUAUCGCGCAGAACUCCGAUUGCGAAGGCAGCGUACCGGCGCCAGACUGACGCUGAGGCACGAAAGCGGGGGGAUCGAACAGGAUUAGAUACCCUUGUAGUC
rnacentral:rRNA from 1 species